GAUGAACGCUGACAGAAUGCUUAACACAUGCAAGUCUUUGGCGAAGCUGUGCUCGCACAGCCUAGCCAAGGCGGACGGGUGAGUAACGCGUAAGGAACUUGCCCUGCAGUCAGGGAUAACAGACGGAAACGACUGAUAAGACCUGGUAAAGUCAGGCGGACUCAUGUCCAGCCUGAUGAAAAGAGAUGCUGCAGGAGAGCCUUGCGUCCUAUUAGCUUGUUGGUGGGGUAACGGCCCACCAAGGCGAUGAUAGGUAGCCGGCCUGAGAGGGUGGACGGCCACAAGGGGACUGAGAUACGGCCCUUACUCCUACGGGAGGCAGCAGUGGGGAAUAUUGGACAAUGGGGGCAACCCUGAUCCGGCAAUUCUGCGUGCACGAUGAAGGUUUUCGGAUUGUAAAGUGCUUUCAGCAGGGAAGAAAAAAAUGACGGUACCUGCAGAAGAAGCGACGGCUAAAUACGUG
rnacentral:rRNA from 1 species